rnacentral:misc_RNA from 1 species
AUUUGGCUAAACUUCCCGGCAGUAAUGCUUGGGCCAGUAGAAUUUCUGGAAUUCUCUGGUGGCCAGUAGAAUCUCCUUCCUGGAAUUCUCUGGUGGUUAUUUUCUUUUUCCAUUGUUAUUGUUUCCUUGUUAAUUAUAUUGUGUGGUUGAAAUAGCUAUUGUAAGUUGGAAAAGGCAUAAGAACACUGCUGUAAUCUCUUCUCCAACAAUUUAUCAAUACAAAUUACCAUUUUCUUCAUAUUACAAUUGCUUUAAG